GUACUAUUUGUUGUUACAUAUUGAUACAUGCACAUAACAUAAUUUGGUAUAAUUUUUGAAUUUUUAAGAACCUCUUCAGAAAUUUUAUUUUAAAAUAGCCCAGUGAUAUGAUCUCAGAAAUGAUGUUCAUACAGGGCUUCCUUCAUUACCAAAUUGAAAAAUGUUAAUAUUUUUAAUUGCUAACUGUUUUUGCUGUGGAAAGUCUCAAACAUACACAGAAAAGGAGAGAAAAUAGUGUAAUAAGUGGCAUGUGUCCAUCACCAGCUUCAACAAUGAUCAAGUCACAGGCCAAGUUGUUUCACAUGUACCUCUCUUCUCCCUCCUUCUUUUCUGGAUUGUUUUGAAGCAUACCUAAGCUAUUAUAUUAUUUCAUCCGUACAUAUUUCAGGUGAUCUAUAAGAGGUAAGAUCUUUAAAAAAUAUUAUGACAAUAUCAUUAUUAUUCCUUAAAAAAUGUCAGUAACUCCUUAAAGUCAGCAUUUGAAUUUCCCCAGUGUCUCCUAAAUGUCUUUGUACUAUUUGUUUAUUUUAAUAGGAAUUUAAAUGAGGUUUACAUAAUUAGUUGACACCGUGAAUAUCUGUAUCUCUAUAAUCCUUACACUAUAGGUUCCCCUUCCAUUUCUUCCUUUUUUCUUGCAAAAACUCUAGGUUAUUUGUCCUGUACCAUUUCCCAGGUUGUUGAUAUUGUUUUAAAUGUUCCCUGACUCCUGAAUUUCAUAUAAAUUGGGAGUUGGAUCUAGAUUCCUGGUCCAAUUUCGGGAACAUUGUGCACUUCAGGAAGCUUACAAAGUUUGUUUCUUUCUGUUUGGGGGAUGUGAGUAGCCAUUGAUGAUUAUUUAAUUAGACCCAUUAUUUAAUUAGAGAUUGAAAAUGGUAUUAAUCUAAUUCUGUCAUCUUUAUUCAUUUAUUACCCAUAAUCUUUCUAUAAAAAGAAGUGUUCCCUCUUCAACUAUGUGUUUACUCUAAAGUAUAGCUAGUACUAGAUAGGCAGAAUAAAUGCUUGACUUUUUUCUCAUAUUUACUGGUUUUCAAAAUCAUGAAAUGGGUCCCUUGUAUACACCAAAGGUAACCAAUGAGUAAUUUUAUAUUACUAUGGUAUCAUGGUUUUAAACAUGUUUGAAUAUUUAAUGCAUAUUUUUGAUAUAUAUUUGAUAUGUAUGUUUCAGAUCCUUGU
rnacentral:lncRNA from 1 species